AAUCAAAUGCUGCUUUCAUUGGUCAAUCUUAAACUCGUAUGGUUGCUUUGGAUCAUUUGUAGGUUACUGCUGCAGAAAGCCAAGUGGCACAGCAACAUAUUCUCAAGGAGCUCAGAAAAAAUGGUCUUGCAUUGUGGCAAAGCUCGGCCCUUGGUCCUAUUACCCUUGGAUCUUCAAAAUCAUCUGCUAAUAAGUUUCCUGCUUCAUUGGAUGCUGCAAUCUAUGGCCCCAGGACAUGUUCAUUAGAAAGUGGUUCUUUGACUGAAAAGGU